rnacentral:rRNA from 1 species
UCAGACGAUGCGUCAUGCAUAUCAAUAAGCGGAGGAAAAGAAACUAACAAGGAUUCCCCUAGUAACGGCGAGUGAAGCGGGAAGAGCUCAAAUUUGAAAUCUUAAAGGGUUUCCCUUUACGAAUUGUAGUUUAAAGAAGUGUUUUCUGUUGAGGUUUUGGUAAAAGUUCUUUGGAAUAGGACAUCAUAGAGGGUGAGAAUCCCGUAUUUGACCUUUACUUUCAACUUUGUGAUACACUUUCAAAGAGUCGGACUGUUUGGGAAUGCAGUCCAAAAUGGGUGGUAAAUUUCAUCUAAAGCUAAAUAUUGGCGAGAGACCGAUAGCGAACAAGUACCGUGAGGGAAAGAUGAAAAGAACUUUGAAAAGAGAGUUAAACAGUACGUGAAAUUGUCAAAAGGGAAGCGUUUGACACCAGUGUUGUUUUUCUGAAAAUCAAUUAAAGAACUGUUUAUGCUAAGUUGUUUAGACUUUAUCAGCUAUCUGUUUAGUUUUGAGCUUUUCUUUAAUGCACUUUUCAGUUAACAAGUCAACAUCAAUUUCUUUUGCUGUAAAAAAGCUUGAGGAAGGUGGCUUGAGAUUCGUCUUAAGUGUUUAUAGCCUCUUGCCUAUGCAGUCGGAGAGAUUGAGGUCUGCAGCGUAGAUCCUUCGGGGCUAAAUGCAUUUGUGCUAAGUUAUAGCAUUUUAUAGACAACUUGUUGACUAUGAUUUGUCUUGUAGCUUACUCGCUUAUGUUAUUUUACCUACGCUUAGGAUGUUGAAUCUGUGCGAGACUAC